GGCUCAGAACGAACGCUGGCGGCGUGCUUAAUACAUGCAAGUCGAACGUUAGAUGUAGCAAUACAUCGAAAGUGGCGAACGGGUGAGUAACACGUAAGUAAUCUACCUCUAAGAUUGGGAUAACCUUGCCAACGCGGGGCUAAUACCGGAUGUGAUCAGCUGAGCGCAUGUUUAGUUGAUUAAAGGAGUGAUCCGCUUAGAGAUGAGCUUGCGGCCCAUUAGUUAGUUGGCGGGGUAACGGCCCACCAAGACCGCGAUGGGUAGCCGGCCUGAGAGGGUGUACGGCCACAUUGGGACUGAGAUACGGCCCAGACUCCUACGGGAGGCAGCAGUAGGGAAUUUUGCGCAAUGGACGAAAGUCUGACGCAGCAACGCCGCGUGAGGGAUGAAGGUCUUCGGAUUGUAAACCUCUGUUGGAUGGGAAAAGAGGUAGCAAUAUUUGAUGGUACCAUUCGAGUAAGCACCGGCUAACUACGUGCCAGCAGCCGCGGUAAUACGUAGGGUGCAAGCGUUGUUCGGAAUCACUGGGCGUAAAGGGAGCGUAGGCGGGAUCGUAAGUUAGGAGUUUAAUGCAUGGGCUUAACCCAUGAUCUGCUUUUAAUACUGCGGUUCUUGAGUAUGGGAGAGGGUGAUGGAAUUCCAGGUGUAGCGGUGGAAUGCGUAGAUAUCUGGAAGAACACCAGUAGCGAAGGCGGUCGCCUGGCCCAAUACUGACGCUGAUGCUCGAAAGUUGGGGGAGCAAACAGGAUUAGAUACCCUGGUAGUCCCAACCGUAAACGAUGAACACUAGUUGCUGGAGGAGUCAAUCUUUUCGGUGACGAAGCUAACGCAUUAAGUGUUCCGCCUGGGAAGUACGCUCGCAAG
rnacentral:rRNA from 1 species